rnacentral:rRNA from 1 species
GGCUCGUCCGCUCAGGGUUAGUCGGGACCUAAGCCGAGGCCGAAAGGCGUAGGCGAUGGACAACAGGUUGAUAUUCCUGUACCACCUCCUCACCAUUUGAGCAAUGGGGGGACGCAGGAGGAUAGGGCAAGCGCGGUAUUGGAUAUCCGCGUCCAAGCAGUUAGGCUGGGAAAUAGGCAAAUCCGUUUCCCGUAAGGCUGAGCUGUGAUGGCGAGCGAAAUAUAGUAGCGAAGUUCCUGAUUCCACACUGCCAAG